ensembl:lncRNA
AGCAACAUCAUAUGCUAUACCACACCUCCAGACUGUGUUCCUGAAUCUCUCCAUGGUCCCAGGCUGGAGCACACCUCAUCUAGGCUGAAUUCCCAGCAGGAAUGAGCUUCCCAGAGCACAAAGGCUGAACACCUCAAACCAUCCAGCAGUGCGCCCCAGGGCUGGCUGCCCCAGGCUCUGUUGGUUUGGCCCAUCAGCCCUUUCUUCACCUCAAAACGGGCCCUGCAGCAAAGGGAGGAGGAGGUGGCACCCUUUUAUGGUGCGAGUAACAGCUCAGCACUAUGCUGCCCCGAGGCAAGGCAUGCUGCACACUCAAUGAUUUCAGAAGAAGCUUAAAAGAAAAAAAAAAAAAAAAAGGAAGAAGGAAUGAGGAACUAAGACAGCACACCCUGUAGCAAAACACAAAUAUCAGCCUGCUGACAAUACCUGCAGAAACCCCUGCUAUCUGCCUGGCUUGCUCACAGUGGACCUACAAGGCUGCCUCGCAGGAUGGAUUCAGCCUCUUGUGCUCCUGAACAUCCAUCUGUGGCCUAAUUGCACCUCUCUGUUCUCCGGUGGGUGAAAACGUGUUCAUUGCCAUGAUCUUCCCAUGAAGCCACAGAACUUAGUUAAGAGGAAUAAGAUCAGGAGGUAAAUGCUUCUGGAGCUGAAUCACCUAACUCUUGUGCUAGGUCCUAGAACUGCCAAGUUCAAUAACAGCCCCUUUGAAUCUGCAAAGGGAGAAAAAUGUCAAAGCAAGACUCAUAGCAAUCAAUGAAAGGUGAUCUUGGGACAAAUCAAAGUACUGCUGGAGAAGAGCAGUGAUGGAAAGAGCUCAUCUUUGAUUGGCUUUGGAUAGAGUAAUAAGCAAAAUUUCCCCCAUAACUAAGGUCUUAGUUAACAUACAUGAACCAGAGAUUCAGUGGAAGGUGUAUAGUGAAGGCAGCAACAACCCACAGACAUUACAAGCCAUUUGUCUUUGAGUGAGCCAUUGGGGAAGAUGAGAAAGUUCCUCUCCCCAGUGGGUGUCACAGCAAGCUUUGGCAUACCAAUGCGUUCACCCAUAUUAUCACCACAGAGCAAACCGAGGGUGUUCUUAACCAUAACACAGAGUCAAAUGCAGCCACUCCUGCAAAAUUUCACAGAAUCUGGAAAACCAGACCGCGUGAAUGUCCUUUCUUCAAAUGUGGGAAACACUAACUCAGCCAUGCUAUCCUCCACGGCACCUUCUUGAAGGAUUGUGUAUGUACCUAUCGAAAUCCCUUCGAUUUCAUGGUUUUUCACUGGCUACUGAUACCAAUGAAGUACUUCAGGAAUCUGUCCAUGCCCAUAGCAGCUGCUUUGCACCUGGUUUUAUGGGAAACUGUGAAAUGAGAUUUUCUCAAGAUUUUUUGGGGGUUGAGACUGGGCCGAGACCUGACACAUUUAAAACAACUAUAUGAAGCUUUAUUACACAAGGAAAAUCACACGCUUUGGAAGAAUUCGUGACUCGAAGUCUAAUGAACGAUCAGGACCUCAUAAUUCAUGUUCUGAUUUUUUACUGAUUUAUGAUGACUUAUUUACUUAUUUAUUUUAAUCAGAAGGGCUGAUUAUGGUGACUAAUCCCAGAAAAAUCUUUCAUGUUAAGGGUAAAUCACAG